AUUGAACGCUGGCGGAAUGCUUUACACAUGCAAGUCGAACGGUAGAGGGGGCAACCCCUCGAGAGUGGCGAACAGGUGAGUAAUAUAUCGGAACGUGCCCAGUCGUGGGGGAUAACGUAGCGAAAGUUACGCUAAUACCGCAUACGAUCUAAGGAUGAAAGCGGGGGAUCGCAUGACCUCGCGCGAUUGGAGCGGCCGAUAUCAGAUUAGGUAGUUGGUGGGGUAAAGGCUCACCGAGCCAACGAUCUGUAGCUGGUCUGAGAGGACGACCAGCCACACUGGAACUGAGACACGGUCCAGACUCCUACGGGAGGCAGCAGUGGGGAAUUUUGGACAAUGGACGCAAGUCUGAUCCAGCCAUUCCGCGUGCAGGAUGAAGGCCCUCGGGUUGUAAACUGCUUUUGUACGGAACGAAAAGGUCUCUCUUAAUACGGGGGACUCAUGACGGUACCGUAAGAAUAAGCACCGGCUAACUACGUGCCAGCCGCCGCCGUAA
rnacentral:rRNA from 1 species